UUGGUCGAUCAAGAACCAGAGGGACACCCAAGGAAGGACCGAAAGAGGAGAAGGCAAAGAGGACAUACGAUGGGGGAGCAACAGAAAAAGAACAUCAAGACCCAUCCCGCUCGCUGGAAUAGCCAUCCUCUUCGUCGAAGAUCCACCCGCUGGUCGCCGUUUGCCACCACAGCGGAUACCCAAACCAGGUAACCCUCGAAACACCCUGUUUUCUUCUCGGUUGUGGGGAGGUUGAGGCGUUGAGACUCCUCCGACGAAACUGGUCGAAAUCGAGGCUAUUUUGUGGCUAGUGAGGUCCAUUUAAAGUGUAACAUACCAUGUCUAAGUCGAAUGUUGCAUAAAACCCGAGCUAGAAGCCUCUACUCUAGUUGCACACUCCCUGCUCGAUAAAAGGUCUCAAUGAAACAAUAUAGGCUUAGGGCGUCGGAUUUGUUUGAGAUGAUUGUUAGUGUUCAUUGUAAACUGAGCCUGGUUGGUGGUAAAAUAUGGUCUCUUAGAUCUUUAAAUUUCACGUUUAGGUCAAAAACCAUGCUGAUUCUCAGUGUUAAGCUCUGGGUUUGAACUCGCAUGCCAUCUGUUCGACAAAAUGCUCGAGAGAGCUCCGAAUCUGUUUUUGCAAAAUCGACAUUCUAAAACUUUGUCAUGCA